AGUGAACGCUGGCGGUAGGCCUAACACAUGCAAGUCGAACGGCAGCACAGGAGAGCUUGCUCUCUGGGUGGCGAGUGGCGGACGGGUGAGGAAUACAUCGGCAUCUACUUUUUCGUGGGGGAUAACGUAGGGAAACUUACGCUAAUACCGCAUACGACCUACGGGUGAAAGCAGGGGACCUUCUGGCCUUGCGCGAUUGCAUGAGCCGAUGUCGGAUUAGCUAGUUGGCGGGGUAAAGGCCCACCAAGGCGACGAUCCGUAGUUGGUCUGAGAGGAUGAUCAGCCACACUGGAACUGAGACACGGUCCAGACUCCUACGGGAGGCAGCAGUGGGGAAUAUUGGACAAUGGGCGCAAGCCUGAUCCAGCCAUACCGCGUGGGUGAAGAAGGCCUUCGGGUUGUAAAGCCCUUUUGUUGGGAAAGAAAUCCAGCUGGCUAAUACCCGGUUGGGAUGACGGUACCCAAAGAAUAAGCACCGGCUAACUUCGUGCCAGCCGCCGCCGUAA
rnacentral:rRNA from 1 species